UGAAAACGUUUUAAAAUAAUAUCGUUCUUAAAAUUUCUUUAAAGAAAGAAGAAUGGUAUUUCUUCUAUAAAGUUCCUUCUUCUUUUGUCUAAGAAAAAAAUAUUAUAAGGAGGAAGAACAAGA
rnacentral:sRNA from 1 species